ACCAACUAAAGAGUAGCACCACUUUAUACACAAUCGCCAACAGAAGCCCUCAGUUUCAGAUCUCUCAUAAAGGAUAUUUCAUAUAGCUUGUCGGAAAUGGCUUCAUUCAAGGCAUUUUUGAACAGCCCUGUUGGCCCUAAAACAACUCAUUUUUGGGGUCCUGUAGCCAACUGGGGAUUUGUCAUUGCUGGAUUGGUCGACACACAAAAACCACCAGAGAUGAUAUCAGGCAACAUGACCUCAGCAAUGUGUGUUUAUUCUGCGUUGUUCAUGAGAUUUGCAUGGAUGGUUCAGCCUCGGAAUUAUCUUCUUCUGGCAUGUCAUGCCUCAAAUGAGUCAGUGCAACUCUAUCAACUAUCACGUUGGGGAAAGAGUCAAGGAUAUUUGCAACAGAAUGCAGCCAAAGCAGAGUGAUCUAGUGUUCUUUCUUGUUUAUUUUUGGACAGAUUUGCUUGGCAUUUCUGAAUGCUUUCAUCAAUUGUUGCAAAAAUGUUUAUAAAGAAUACAUUAAACUUUUGCAGUUUGAAUGACUGUUGGAUCUACACGUUAAUAAACCUAG
rnacentral:misc_RNA from 1 species